AGUGAUACCCGGUCCCACUCAGCAGAGAUUCUGGUGAAAUUGGUUUGGGAUCGGGCUCGCACACCGGUAGGUUGGAAGAGUUCCCCAGGUGAUGCUAAUGUGUAGCUGGGCUUGAGAACCACUGCAAUCGGGGCUGACCAGUGAAGUGAUUUGCUUCUGAUAACCUGAAAACCCGAAUCCACAUGGGUCUGAUCCUCCACUCUGGGGUUCUUCCGACAAACUCAGAGUUCUCCGUGGCUUUGGCAUCUGUCUGAAUCGAAAGCAAAUUCUUGGCGAUCAAGUCUACUCCUCCUUAAUCCAAAGGGAAUCCAAUUCGCUUCAAAUACAGUGCCAAAAGAACUUCUGUUUUUCGUUUUGUUUUGUUUGGUGAGGAAGAUGGGCCUGAGCUAACGUCUGUGCCAGUCUUUCUGUAUUUUGUAUGUGGGAUGCUGCCACAGCAUGGCUUGAUGAGUGCUGUGUAGGUCCUGCCCAGGAUCCGGGCCUGCGAACCCCGGGCUCCCGAGGCAAAGCACGCAAACUUAACCACUACACCACCAGGCCGGCCCCAAGCGCUUCUGGUUUUUGCCUCUCUCUCAAACUGUUCGUGUGUUUCAUGCCUGGGAACUGCAUUCUUCAGCCAAGUUGGAGAAAUCCCUAUAAAAAUAGUCCCCUUUCCUGAGUGCCUGGUGUAGUUAAGGCACUUGACAUGCAGUUUCAUUUAAUCCCCAGAACCCUCUUACGAGGUGAGUUUUGUUGACACCAGUUUAUAGAUGAGCAAACUGACAUGCAGAGAGGCUAAGGAUUCUAACCUGUGUCUAAGCUGAUACAGCUGGGAUUCCAACCCAAGCAUUCAUGUGCUUCCCCUCACCACCUGUGCCUCCCGCGCUGCCCAGAGCACGGGGCAGCUGGCAGACAGUGGCGUUGUGCCCUGGAUCCGCAGAGGAAAGACGACUCUGUGAAGGGGGCCUUUCGGGGGCCUGUUUCAUCAACCACCACCCCCAGGUGAUGGGGCUGCUUCCGGAACUGCACUGUGCACAUCACUGUGCUACAGUAUACUUUUCAAAAGGAUUGAUAUUCUCCAACACAGAGCGGAUCGAUGCACGUAAUUCUUGCAGAUUUCCUUUGGCUUUGCGCCGUGAGGGAGGGAGACAGUUGGAAACGUCCUGAUUUUGAGAGGAAGCCGGUGUUUCCUGAAGCCUUUGUUUUGGGUGCGCCUUAACCGCACCUGCGUUUCUUGCAGCUUCUUACAAAGAAACUUCUUUUUUUGUUUUGAGAGUCAAAAUAGUUGAACUGAAGUUAUUUUCAACCGGAGGGAAAUGUUUGAAAGCUCAGCCUUUGUGAGCCCAAAGAGCAUUGUUUCAUCGACAGUGAUUGAAACAGUCAUUUCCUUUGGGAAGUCUUUGCCAUUGAAGCAAACUUUGAUUUUGGAAGCAAAAGUUUUGGCUUUAAAGAUGGGAUCCAAGUGUUACACCUUCUUCUCAUAGCUCCCCGGCCAUUUAUCGGAGUGCUGUGAUAGUAAGGUUGUUUGCAUUUGAACAGAAAGACCUGCUCUGGCCAGCUGGGCUGAUGCUAAGAGGCAGUAUAGUUCAGUGGUGAGGAGCACAUCCCUUACAGCUGGGCUGCCUGGGUUUGCCUCACUCUGCCACUUGCAAGCUGGAAUCUUCGGCAAAUUACAUAACUGUCCCGAACUUCAGUUUCUGCCUUUAUAAAAUGGGGAUGAAGAUAGUAUUUAUUUCCUAUGAUUUUUUAUAAUUAUUAAUUAACAUAAUAAAAAGUACUUAAAUCCAA
rnacentral:lncRNA from 1 species